UUUUUUUUUUUACUCUAAAGACAGGGGCGGAUGCAGAAUUUUUUGAUGUUUGAGGUAGCUAACUUUCUGACAUAGAGGAAACUCCAAUUUCCCCAUUAAGACCUAUCAGCCUUGUCACAGAACACUGCGCAGAAGAGCAUUCAACUUGGAAGUUAAUGCCUCCUUCUUUACAGAUGAUAAAAGCAAUAAAAAAGAAAAGUAAUUAUGUUGUUACAGAUGAUUAUGUGAUUGCAUCAGUUAUAGAUCUUGACAUAAUUUUAAAAGUUUUAAAUCAAUCGUUACAAUUAUGAAACUUGAAGGAGCAACGAACGUUAUUCAGAGAUUAGAUCAAGGAAAACAAUCCAGGAACACUAUAGAAACAGACCAGCAGCUUUUUAUUACUUUUAUUACUAAUGUAAUUAUUGGGUGUUAAAGUAAUUAAAACUAAAAAAGGUAAACUCAAUAAUUGGCAUCACUCAAAUAGGAUGCAUUUGAUUAACAAAACUAUAAUGAAUGCCAUUUCAAAAAAGUUAAUAUAUCAAUUUAACCAAUUUUUAACAAUACAUCCACCUUCAUUGUUUGUAAAUUCUUUUCAAUGCCUAAUCAAAGAACGAAUGCCGAUGGCUUGGAACUCUUUCGAGUCAAAAAAGUGAUUUUGGUGCUGUUGGAGUACUUUAUCAUAUUCAAAUCUUUCGUUGCGCAUAUUACCGUUUUGUAAUUAGAAUGAAUAAUAUUUAUUUGAUUCAUAGUUAUCAUUUAUUUUAUUAACGUUUGAA